AGAAAGAGAGAGAGAGAGAGAGAGAGAUUGGGGGCAAAGUGAGCGAUCUUAGGCGUCUCUUGGCUACUAAUUAGUCAGGCCAUACCCCAAUUACGGAAACUCGAGGAGAAGGCAAAUUAGAGAUACCGGAUUGAAGCGAGACGGACCUGUUUGCCAAAUAUUUGCCGACCAAUAAUGAUUAGCUUAAUUCCGCUGCUCGGGCCUCCCGUGUAACUUCCGCGCAAAGCAAAGAUCCUCCAGCAAUUUCUAUCCUUCUAUCCCUUUAAUUUCUUAUUCCAUUAUUGGCUUUUGCCUUGUUUUAUCAA